GCUUCUUUUCAAGAAACUUAACAUAACUGAUACUUCAGUGUGAAGAGACAUGCAUUUCCUAUUAUCUCUAGUUUCCUUGGAAAUGAAGACUGGACUCAUUAGGGUUUUUUGUAAGUGAUAGAAAAUAGUUGGCGAUGAGUGGCGAGAGAGACGAAUAGGUGGGGAACUUCUUCAUUUUGCACACUCUUACAGAAUGUAUCCACUUCCUAUUUUACACUGGCUUGAUACUUCUUAUUAUUGCUACUGAUUAGUGAGGGUUCUAUCCUGCUUCCCACGGCCUCAGAUAUAUGGUUUCUAUUAUCUUUGAUGGGAGUCAGAGCAUUCUAAAAUUACUGGCAUACUUGAAAGACCCAUAUUCUGCACCACCAAGUUCCUUUAUUGAUUCACUAAUGAUUCAUAAAUCAGUACUGAAUAGUACUGAAUAAUCUAAAGCAACGAUUUCCAGAUGAAAGGUUGAAACCCACCAUGGUCAGAUGCAGUCAUGGCUUGUAAAGGAAAGUCUGACAGAAGUCCACGUUGCUGGUUGUGCCCAGCCAACAAAAGUACCCAUGGGCACUGGCAGAGAAAGGGGGGUGCGGUGGGUGCGGUCCGCCCCGGGUGUCAUCCCUGAGGGGGGUGUGACAUCACCGCGCUGCCCCCUUGCGACAUUUGCCCCGCCCCCUAGGAUGCUUGCCCCGCCCCCACGUGCACAUCAUGUAUGCCGCUCCAGAUGCUGGAGCAGCUAAUAAUAAUAAUAACAAUAAUAAUUUAUUAUUUAUACCCCGCCCAUCUGGCUGGGUCCCCCCAGCCACUCUGGGCGGCUUCCAACAAAACACUAAAAUACAAUAACCUAUUAAACAUUAAAAGUUUCCCUAAACAGGGCUGCCUUCAGAUGUCUUCUAAAAGUUUGGUAGUUAUUUUUCUCUUUGCCAUCUGGUGGGAGGGCGUUCCACAGGGCGGGCGCCACUACCGAGAAGGCCUGGUUCCCUGUAACUUGGCUUCUUGCAGCGAGGGAACCGCCAGAAGGCACUCUGCGCUGGACCUCAGUGUCCGGGCAGAACGAUGGGGUGGAGACGCUCCUUCAGGUAUACUGGGCAGAGGCCGUUUAGGGCUUUAAAGGCCAGCACCAACACUUUGAAUUGUGCUCAGAAACGUACUGGGAGCCAGUGUAGGUCUUUCAAGACCGGUGUUAUAUGGUCUCGGUGGCCGCUCCCAGUCACCAGUCUAGCUGCCGCAUUCUGGGUUAAUUGUAGCUCCACAGCUAGCUCCACAUCUGCCUAUGGGCAGCCAGGCUAAUACUCAUUUUGAUGUUUUUGUCCGGCUCUGACAUUGGCACAUGCUAGAAUGACUGGGUUGCAUGUUUGCCAAUCCUCUGCCUGGGCAAAGUGCAUUGUUUUAAUUUCAGCUUAAAAUUGUUAAAUAAGAAACUGUCUCUGUUCUGACCCCCUUGGCUUAUGUACUUUUAAAAAGGUGAAUUGUUGGCCUCUGUAACAGGGCUGAGGCUGGAAACGCCCCCCCCCCCAAACCCCCAGUAAAUCUCUUGUUAAAUAUUUUAUUUCCUCCUUUUAUAAAAGGACCUUUGUAUUUGCUGGGUUUUGUUAAUCACUGAGACCCAGAUGGAGAUUUGCAGAAGUAAAUGUUAUGCCCUUUUCGUGACACAUUAAAAAGUAAAGUGCAUCCACAGCUGUGACCUUGCCAUCCUCGUCAGGGAUCAGUUUUCCACAUAACAAUGGCAUCAGUUCUGCCACUGAGCCGUUGGCGUGCUGAGAAGCUGUCUUUUGCUCUGGCAGGAGCUAUUAUAACCUAAAUUUUGCUAAGGCAAUGUGGUUCCACUAUCUUAGGUAUGCUCUCAUUUGCAACACUGCAGAAACAGGUGGAAUUUGCCCUUUAUAGUUAAAGGGACCAAAAUGGGAGCCUAUUUUGCCUUUUUCAAAAACGUGCUCCUCUCACUGCUGCUGUUCCUGUCCUCUUGAACUACACUACACUUGAUCUUAGCCAAAAGGCCGAGAAGUGAAUGGCACUACAGUGGUACCUCGGGUUACAUACGCUUCAGGUUACAUACGCUUCAGGCGGCGCAGUGGCAGCAGGAGGCCCCAUUAGCUAAAGUGGUGCUUCAGGUUAAGAACAGUUUCAGGUUAAGAACGGACCUCCGGAUCGAAUUAAGUACUUAACCCGAGGUACUACUGUACUUAGUGGGAAGAAACUCCAAUGAAAAUCCUCGUUAUUGCAUAUUUUACAUGGCUGUAUAUUUGUAUAUAUUUUAAAAUUUUAUAUAUAUGGAUGUUUUAUGAUGGCCUAUAUUUGUAAUGCCUAAUAACGGUUUAGCAAAGUAAGUAAAUCCUCUUGCACUAUAUACAGAUACAUCAGCUAUACCUCUUCACAGUAUUUGGAAUUACAGGAAGUCAGAGAGGGUGUGCCCCCUUACUUAUCGUAAGUAAGCUAUUGUUUUUAGGAGGGAGGAGGAUGCUUUGAAUAACUUGGGGUUAGGAGAAAUUUGGGUUGGGUCUUGUGGAUUUCCAUAAGGCCCUUCUGCCUUUCUCCCCAUUACUGAAACAGUGCUUUCCCUGCAUUGUAUAUCCUAGUCCAUCAAGAUCCUGGAAAAUGAAUACCGGUAAGUUGAAUAAUGUCUCCUGUGUGAAUGCUGAGCUACGGGAAUUUCCCACGCUCCAUCUGUCACUUAACUAUGCAGUGACUGCAGCAACUUUUUCUUGGUGGUUUGGACAAGCACAGGGUGGGGCAGGUGAACAUCUCUGUCUCAUAACUGCUUUAGAGAAGAUGAAUGCCUGAAGGAAUCCAUAGUAUAGAACACUUGCUUUGAUGCAACAUUAGAUGCUAAUUAAUUAGCCAGCAUCGUAUGAUCUCUAGAUAUUGUGGACUACAUUUCCAAUCUUUCCUUAUUGUUCGCCAUGCCGUCUGGUGUUGAUGGUUGUACCCUGAAACAUCUGGAGGGCAUCAAUUUGCCUACCACUGGGAGGAUACAGUGGUACCUCGGGUUACAGACACUUCAGGUUACAGACUCCGCUAACCCAGAAAUCGUACCUCGGGUUAAGAACUUUGCUUCAGGAUUAGAACAGAAAUCGCACAAUGGCAGGGUGGCGGCAGCAGGAGGCCCUAUUAGCUAAAGUGGUGUCACAGGUUAAGAACAGCUUCAGGUUAAGAACGGACCUCCAGAAUGAAUUAAGUUCUUAACCCGAGGUAUCACUGUAUCUAGUUUGCCUGGGACAUUAAAUAGUGGAGACUGUGUUGCCGCUAAGGCCCUCAAAUUAGCACCCAGAGUGCCAGAGGUAAUGAGGGCGAUGCCACAUAAGUCUGGUGUCUGCGCCUGGACUAACAUGUGUGUGCCAGGGCCCUGGGGGCUGAUGUUAGUUGCUGCAGCAUUCUGCUUGUUGUUUUUAAUUAAUAGGGGGAAACCUGUUUGCCAUGUACAUGUUUACAGAAGCUUGUUUAUUAUUGUUAAGUUGUGGGCGAACAUAUCACACGACACAGUGAUUCUUCAAACGGCUGUUGUUUAUUCAGAGGCCAGAACAGAACUGAACUGAAUAGCUCAGUCAGCCUGCCUAUAUAGAGCUCCAGAACAACGUAACUGUAGCAACUUUCUAAAACUAUCCAAUCACUGAACGUCACUUUCGAUCCUUCCUUUGCAUACAAACUAUCCAAUCACUGAACGUCACUUUCGAUCCUUCAUUUGCAUAAAUAUCUACAGUAUCCCCCUCCUGGCCCAGGGUGAGAACUUCAGUACAUAACAAUUAUGUCGACUUCAAAAAUAUAGCAAUGUUAACUGCAACAAACUGGUACUAAUUCCCAAGUAAAUGUGUUUAUCAACAGAGGCGAGCCCCAUUUUACCCCUAUUGUUAACAAUGGUGCCGUGAUUUAAGUAUGUUUCAAGCGCAAAACUGCACAUGCUUUGUCUGUUGCUCUGUGGAACAACAGUGAGGCGUGGGAGGAGAAAUGCCCAUUGUAUGCUUCAUAACUGAAGUAAUACACAUGGCUGUCUAAGGAGGCCUCUGAAAUGACCUAGCUGCACCACUGAGAGAUCAGUCCUGCUGACGGGAAGCAGAUGAGUGCAAGGACUGAGUGAUUCUAUUGCCGGUCCUUGCUGCUGAGAGAUGGCAGCCUAUAUACCUCAUGUUUUACACAAGGUGGCAGUUAUCAGGGACCAGGGCUGGCUUCUCUCACUAGCCAAGACAGACAGAGGCAAUAGUGGAGGAACAUCCCAUUGCCUUCACUCCCCCAUGCCUGGCACUAGUUUAUUUCCUCAGCUUGAAGAGUGCUGCAGCAACAUUAUUUUACUGAAGUGGUACUGCAGGAUUUAGACUGCUGAUCUCCCCUGAGUGGACUGGAUACACUCUGGUGAGUUUAUCUGUUCACAUUCGCUGCAUUUUGCACCUAAUACUUGAGCUUCCUGUCCAACUGGUUGUCUUAACCUAGUACCAGAUUUAUUCUAAUCUUUUCUAGUAUUCUUUCCCCCAUGGAAAACCUUCAAGGCUAUAACCCAUUGACUGCUGCUACUCCCGACAAACAUCCUUUGAAACAAAUAGAGUUUUUGUGGGAUCAAUAUUUGGUAGAUUGUGCUUGAAAUUCUAAACAAUUUGACAUUUGAGUGUGGUAUUUUGUGUGGUUGGCAAUUAGAAAUAAGCAGGUUUGUAAUAUCUCAUUGUCUCAACAUCUGCUCUCUAGGCUGUGGGGAAGUUUACGUUUUGAAGGUGACACUUCAAAAAUUCUUUGUAGGAACAAACUAUUUGGCAUUUUGGAAAGGCAAGGAACUAGCCUUUGCAUUUCUCGUGCUCCCUUGUGCACCAUGAGCUACUUUCUUGCCUAAUGUGAAACAAAUGUACCUAUAUUCAUCUGUCAAAUGUUGGAAGGUAUGCACCCAUUACAGGAAUGAAUAAAAACACUGCCUGUGCCAAGCAAGUCCCAUAACAGCCAAUCUUCUUUCAUUGCCUGGACUGCGAGACUGGAUGGAUAACUGAGUGAAUUAUAUAUAAGUUUGUGGUGUGAAGAGAUUGCCUUGCUCUUUUCCAUUCUUCUGGUGCUUGUUUCUUUUUCUUCAGCAAUGUUUUCUGGCUAAUUUUCAGACUGAUGUUUUAUCUUAUUCCAUGUUCUUAUUCGUUUUUUAAGAGGCCAAACACCACACCAUGGGAUAUACCCGGGCCUGAAAGCCUGAAGUAUUAUCCUGUAACAAAUGUAUGAUCUGCGAGGUGUAACUGUGGGGCAGUCAUUCUGGGCUUGCCACUUCUCUCUUUAAAGGCGGCAGGAAGGGAUACUAGUUUGUCUAUGCGCAUUAAUUUCAGCACAUGCAUCUUCAAAUUUUCCCGUUACUAGGCCUGGAGUAUUAGCUGGUUAUGUGAAUUAAUUUACAAGACAGUUGAGCUCUUGCAAAGCCCUCUUUUUUGACCAACCAGCUUAGCUCAACUGCAACAUGUGCUGUCCUUGAUGCACUGCCCUAAAUCAUCACUCUGUCAUGCCAAAUUGUUCCUUAGAGUGUAAACCUGUCAGCAGGACCUGUUUAUGGUUUUAUUUGCAUAGAUCCCGGAUCCUGCUUAAUGAAUAAUAAUACCAGAGGUUUUACGCUCCAGCAGUACAAUUUUACAGUUCUUCUGUAUCUUCUUGUUUUGUACAGCUUGUAUGUAAUUGAGGAUACAGCAUACAAAGAUAAAGGAGUGUGGUGACUGUUAACUGAGAAUUGGCUUGGGUCUUGCAGCGUAAACUAAAGUUAUUUGAGUCAAACAAAACCAGGAUUCAAAUCAA